AUGUUUUCUUUGGUUGCUACAAGUGUCGCUUUAGGGGUUAUAAAUGUCACAUCUACAUUUAUUAUAUGCAUAAUGCACAACGCUAAUCUCCCUUAAUCGUCACUCUGGCUUAAUAAUUGUGCAUAUUUGAAGUUUUAUCUUUCAAACUUUAUAUUGACUAUACAUAAAUUCUAGAAUGCAUGUUCAUGUUUUUUAAUUAAUGGCCCAAGCUUAAUCACCACUUUCAGUUAGAAUUUGGAUGCACAUGCCAUUAU
rnacentral:lncRNA from 1 species